AGGCUGCAACUCGCCUACAUGAAGUCGGAGUUGCUAGUAAUCGCGGAUCAGAAUGCCGCGGUGAAUACGUUCCCGGGCCUUGUACACACCGCCCGUCACACCAUGGGAGUUGGGAGCACCCGAAGCCGGUGAGCUGACCGCAAGGAGGCAGCCGUCGAAGGUGAGACCGAUGACUGGGGUGAAGUCGUAACAAGGUACC
rnacentral:rRNA from 1 species